CCUGAUGACCAUAGCAAGUUGGUACCACCCCUUCCCAUCCCGAACAGGACCGUGAAACGACUUCGCGCCGAUGAUAGUGCUGCAACCAGUGUGAAAGUAGGUCAUCGUCAGGCUCUUAUUAAAAAACCCCCUCGCUCUACACGAGCCUGGGGGUUUUUGCUUUGCAGGCCCUCCACGUAACUUCCUC
rnacentral:rRNA from 1 species